AUUGUUUCUUGCUCCUGUGGCUAAGAUCUGGCUAAGAUCAGAUGUGGUGUCUGUACUUCUCAGUUUACUAUCUGAAACGACCCUCUCCGGUUGCCAUUUCCUAAAUGGAUAUUUAGAACACGGAGGAGGAAGCAGUAUUUGCUCUGUCCACUCCACACCUUGACAUGAUGUUGCCGUACUUCCAGGAAGUAUCUGGA